rnacentral:rRNA from 1 species
GGGUUGUGAGGUUAAGCGACUAAGCGUACACGGUGGAUGCCCUGGCAGUCAGAGGCGAUGAAGGACGUGCUAAUCUGCGAUAAGCGUCGGUAAGGUGAUAUGAACCGUUAUAACCGGCGAUUUCCGAAUGGGGAAACCCAGUGUGUUUCGACACACUAUCAUUAACUGAAUCCAUAGGUUAAUGAGGCGAACCGGGGGAACUGAAACAUCUAAGUACCCCGAGGAAAAGAAAUCAACCGAGAUUCCCCCAGUAGCGGCGAGCGAACGGGGAGCAGCCCAGAGCCUGAAUCAGUGUGUGUGUUAGUGGAAGCGUCUGGAAAGGCGCGCGAUACAGGGUGACAGCCCCGUACACAAAAAUGCACAUACUGUGAGCUCGAUGAGUAGGGCGGGACACGUGGUAUCCUGUCUGAAUAUGGGGGGACCAUCCUCCAAGGCUAAAUACUCCUGACUGACCGAUAGUGAACCAGUACCGUGAGGGAAAGGCGAAAAGAACCCCGGCGAGGGGAGUGAAAAAGAACCUGAAACCGUGUACGUACAAGCAGUGGGAGCCUCUUUAUGGGGUGACUGCGUACCUUUUGUAUAAUGGGUCAGCGACUUAUAUUCUGUAGCAAGGUUAACCGAAUAGGGGAGCCGAAGGGAAACCGAGUCUUAACUGGGCGUUAAGUUGCAGGGUAUAGACCCGAAACCCGGUGAUCUAGCCAUGGGCAGGUUGAAGGUUGGGUAACACUAACUGGAGGACCGAACCGACUAAUGUUGAAAAAUUAGCGGAUGACUUGUGGCUGGGGGUGAAAGGCCAAUCAAACCGGGAGAUAGCUGGUUCUCCCCGAAAGCUAUUUAGGUAGCGCCUCGUGAAUUCAUCUCCGGGGGUAGAGCACUGUUUCGGCAAGGGGGUCAUCCCGACUUACCAACCCGAUGCAAACUGCGAAUACCGGAGAAUGUUAUCACGGGAGACACACGGCGGGUGCUAACGUCCGUCGUGAAGAGGGAAACAACCCAGACCGCCAGCUAAGGUCCCAAAGUCAUGGUUAAGUGGGAAACGAUGUGGGAAGGCCCAGACAGCCAGGAUGUUGGCUUAGAAGCAGCCAUCAUUUAAAGAAAGCGUAAUAGCUCACUGGUCGAGUCGGCCUGCGCGGAAGAUGUAACGGGGCUAAACCAUGCACCGAAGCUGCGGCAGCGACGCUUAUGCGUUGUUGGGUAGGGGAGCGUUCUGUAAGCCUGUGAAGGUGUGCUGUGAGGCAUGCUGGAGGUAUCAGAAGUGCGAAUGCUGACAUAAGUAACGAUAAAGCGGGUGAAAAGCCCGCUCGCCGGAAGACCAAGGGUUCCUGUCCAACGUUAAUCGGGGCAGGGUGAGUCGACCCCUAAGGCGAGGCCGAAAGGCGUAGUCGAUGGGAAACAGGUUAAUAUUCCUGUACUUGGUGUUACUGCGAAGGGGGGACGGAGAAGGCUAUGUUGGCCGGGCGACGGUUGUCCCGGUUUAAGCGUGUAGGCUGGUUUUCCAGGCAAAUCCGGAAAAUCAAGGCUGAGGCGUGAUGACGAGGCACUACGGUGCUGAAGCAACAAAUGCCCUGCUUCCAGGAAAAGCCUCUAAGCAUCAGGUAACAUCAAAUCGUACCCCAAACCGACACAGGUGGUCAGGUAGAGAAUACCAAGGCGCUUGAGAGAACUCGGGUGAAGGAACUAGGCAAAAUGGUGCCGUAACUUCGGGAGAAGGCACGCUGAUAUGUAGGUGAAGUCCCUCGCGGAUGGAGCUGAAAUCAGUCGAAGAUACCAGCUGGCUGCAACUGUUUAUUAAAAACACAGCACUGUGCAAACACGAAAGUGGACGUAUACGGUGUGACGCCUGCCCGGUGCCGGAAGGUUAAUUGAUGGGGUCAGCGCAAGCGAAGCUCUUGAUCGAAGCCCCGGUAAACGGCGGCCGUAACUAUAACGGUCCUAAGGUAGCGAAAUUCCUUGUCGGGUAAGUUCCGACCUGCACGAAUGGCGUAAUGAUGGCCAGGCUGUCUCCACCCGAGACUCAGUGAAAUUGAACUCGCUGUGAAGAUGCAGUGUACCCGCGGCAAGACGGAAAGACCCCGUGAACCUUUACUAUAGCUUGACACUGAACAUUGAGCCUUGAUGUGUAGGAUAGGUGGGAGGCUUAGAAGUGUGGACGCCAGUCUGCAUGGAGCCGACCUUGAAAUACCACCCUUUAAUGUUUGAUGUUCUAACGUUGACCCGUAAUCCGGGUUGCGGACAGUGUCUGGUGGGUAGUUUGACUGGGGCGGUCUCCUCCUAAAGAGUAACGGAGGAGCACGAAGGUUGGCUAAUCCUGGUCGGACAUCAGGAGGUUAGUGCAAUGGCAUAAGCCAGCUUGACUGCGAGCGUGACGGCGCGAGCAGGUGCGAAAGCAGGUCAUAGUGAUCCGGUGGUUCUGAAUGGAAGGGCCAUCGCUCAACGGAUAAAAGGUACUCCGGGGAUAACAGGCUGAUACCGCCCAAGAGUUCAUAUCGACGGCGGUGUUUGGCACCUCGAUGUCGGCUCAUCACAUCCUGGGGCUGAAGUAGGUCCCAAGGGUAUGGCUGUUCGCCAUUUAAAGUGGUACGCGAGCUGGGUUUAGAACGUCGUGAGACAGUUCGGUCCCUAUCUGCCGUGGGCGCUGGAGAACUGAGGGGGGCUGCUCCUAGUACGAGAGGACCGGAGUGGACGCAUCACUGGUGUUCGGGUUGUCAUGCCAAUGGCACUGCCCGGUAGCUAAAUGCGGAAGAGAUAAGUGCUGAAAGCAUCUAAGCACGAAACUUGCCCCGAGAUGAGUUCUCCCUGACUCCUUGAGAGUCCUGAAGGAACGUUGAAGACGACGACGUUGAUAGGCCGGGUGUGUAAGCGCAGCGAUGCGUUGAGCUAACCGGUACUAAUGAACCGUGAGGCUUAACCUUACAACGCCGAAGGUGUUU